rnacentral:tRNA from 1 species
GGAGAGAUGGCUCAAUGGUUAAGAGCACUGACUGUUCUUCCAGAGGUCCUGAGUUCAAUUCUCAGCAACCACA